CCUUACAGCCUACAGGCAGGCAGACAGAGAAAGGCUCUCUCGAUCCACCAUCGUCUCGCCGUCCAACUUUCCUUCUCCAUUGCUCCUUCGAUCGUUCCAUCCUGGAGGAAGCGACGUUGCCGAUCGAAGCUGCUGGAGGAGGAGGAGGAGGAGGAGGAGGAGCAAUGGGAUGGCGGUGGGGCGUGAAGAGCCUGAGGUACUCGACGAUGGUGCUGGGCGUGUCCAACACGGCGGUGGUGAUCCUGGGCGGGUGCUUCCUGCUCCUGUCUUUCCCCCCCUGCGGCCCCCGCCGGACGCUUCCUUUGGCGGUGGUCACCUUGGCCGCCGCCGUCAGGAUCGUCGCCAUGGUUCAUACGGGGAUCGCCCAGCAAGCCACGGCUACGACCGUUGUUGAGUCUUCCGAGAGCGCCGUCGUCGACGCCGUCAUUCGCCAUCAGAGACGGAUGAGGUAUAAAAAAUGGAUUUGGUGGACCCGGUUCGCAACAGUUGUCAUGGUGGUGCAAUUUGUGGGCGCAACUUAUCUUCUGCUCAAGAUAAUUAAGUCUGCUUCCCACGACGAAACUAUAGGUGACUGUGUCUUAGGGAUUGUCUCCAAAGCAAGCACGUGGAAGCGGAAUAUGCUGGUUUUAUUCAUUGUCAUGGUGUGUUUUGUUGCACUACUUCAGUGUUUUACGGGCUCCGAUGUUCUAAGGUGGAGAUCAUUUUAUUCAACUGAGGACAAUGCAUGGAAGGCCCAUUAUAGGGAGGUAUUUGAUCAUGGCAUGCGCGAGGCUUUAUGCUGUCUUGGACGUGUAAAAUACUUGAGUGUUAUGGAGGAGGAUGAAGUUUAUUCGGUAGCACGACUACUCGGGGAUCUUGUUGCCUAUCGUGCAUCAGGCACUGGCCACCUGGAACUUUUGGCAGGCCUAGCUUUGUUUCAGAGGAACAGUCUUCCAUCAAAACGUCAUGAAGAGCUAAUGGAUGCACCUAGAGGACAAAUCGAGGAGGCCGCCAUUCUUCAUAAGUUUGCUGAAGCUGCCUACACAGGUCCUUUGCUCGAUUUUGGAAGAAAUCCCUUCAUCUUUCCAUGUGCAUGGCUCUACAGGCAGGGGAUCUUCACUCCCUGGUCCUGCAACAGGAGGCCAAAACUUCAUGGCGAUAAUUGGUGGCGUGGUCAUGCAGCUGCCUUCUUGAAGUAUGUUGGUCUGCCUCCUGGCGCACUUCGCCAAGGCCGUGUCUGUCAGGCAAAAUGUGAGGCUGCAUAUUUCAUUGUUGUUCUCCAUCAUGCAAGGACGGUUGUAAUUGCUGUUCGUGGAACUGAGACACCUGAAGACCUCAUAACAGAUGGUUUAUGCAGAGAAUGCACCCUCUCUGCAGAAGAUUUGGAUGGAUUGAUGAGUCAUCCUUGCUCUGACAUAAGGCAAAACAUCAAGACCUCUUUCCCUCAUUAUGGGCACUCUGGGAUCGCUGUGGCUGCACGAGAACUUUUUCUGCAAAUUGAAGGAAAUCGUGGAAACAGUGGAGACGAGGAGCCCGCAUUGAGGAGCUAUCUGUCCUCAUUGAUGGGUCCAGGAUGCGAGUGUGAUGGUUACAAAUUACGGAUAGUGGGGCACUCACUUGGAGGUGCCAUCGCUGCAAUGCUAGGCCUUCGACUGUAUAAUCACUAUCCAAAUCUCCAUGUGUAUGCAUAUGGAAGCCUUCCAUGUGUUGAUUCAGUGGUGGCAGAAGCCUGUUCAGAUUUUGUGACAAGCAUUGUAUACAACAAUGAAUUUUCUGCGCGCCUUUCAGUGGGAUCGAUCCUCCGACUUCGUGCAGCUGCCAUUAUGACACUUUCUCAAGAUUCAAAAACUGAUACAGCAUUGAUCUAUAGACUUGCCCGUCGAUUUUUAUAUCUUGGCCAGUAUCAAUCAUGGGGAAUUAAAAAACUGGCUCCUGGCUCAGUAUUUAACUCUGAUCCAGUCUCAUCUGGAGAAUAUGGUCAAAAUGUUGGUGGGGACCAAUAUUCUAAUAAGGAUAAAGGAAAGGAGGAACGUUUCAGUGAUUUGUUCCUCUUAGGCAGGCCAGUUGUGGAGGAAAUGGUUGUUGAUGUUGAGCAGGACAAUCUCACCAGCCCUUUUAAAGAUGAGAUUUCAAUUGCAAAUUCAUUGGAUGAUCCUGUGACUGAAUUCAUGGAGACCGUCCCAAAUUCUAACCAUGUUUCAGCUGAUGAUCCAAAAGAGAUGUUUCUACCAGGUCUCAUUGUCCAUAUAGUGCCUGACAAGAGGAGCUUGCUCUCUCCCAUUUGGAAAGCUUUGACAAUCAACGAGAUGCCACAGAAAUUUAAAGCAUAUAUAGCAGACAGAGAGACUUUCAAAGAUUUUGUGGUCUCCCCUUCAAUGUUUCUUGACCAUCUUCCUUGGAGAUGCCACAAUGCUCUGCAAAACAUAUUGGCUGCUCAAGACUCUAAUUUAUGAAUUGGCAAGUCUUGUGGGGAACGUUUGUCAGACCAACGAAGACAUGGGUUUUUAUGUCCAUAGGCCGCAGUGUUUGCUUUCAAGACCUCUGGACGAAGCCAUGUCAUUCCUGCUAUUGAAGGUGCAAAUGUAUCAACAAGAAGUAUCUUGUCAGCGAUCACGAUAGGAAGCAUGAAGUGGAUGGUGAACAUUGCGGAUCCCAUGACCAGAAGAUCGCUGGCUAUGAAUAUUAGGGUCAUGUGGAGCAUAUGGAAAUUGAUAGAUCAUUCUGUUAUUGUCAUUCUUUUUGUCGUCGCAUAAACGUUAUUUUCAUGUUCUUCCAAUAAGAAAGCAUAUUCCCUUCAAGUUCAUUAUGCUAAAUUCUUAAUAUAAUGGACAAAAAUGUGAAAUGAGUACUGUUACAAACUAAUAGAAGAUAGAACAUUGGUGGCAUAAAUAAAGGCCGUCCUAUUCGUAA